rnacentral:lncRNA from 1 species
CACUAGUCAAAUAAAGUUUGCCUUGCCAACAUAAAUGCAGUGAAACUAUAACUAAACAUUCUUUUCAAAAAGAAAAUAAAUGGGGACCAUUCUCAUAGACAGUAACUAUAAGUACAAAGGGACUCUUGGCACACCUUGAGAAACUCGUUAAACAUCAAUACAAUUUUUGAGAAAAGCAGAUUACACGUGAAAGUACUAGCAUAUAAUACAUAAACACUUGUGACAACAACAAUUCGAAAGAGUCUUUUUCUUGAUACACCAUCCUAAUACAUGACAUAUUCAGAUUUCAUUCUCUAAAACUUGUUUCCUUUUGUGCAUAUUUAUUUUGAGUGAGAUCUUCAAGUCUUUUUCGUCAGUUAGUUUAGUGAGCGUGACAAAUCAUUCACGUGUUCGCCUCCAUUUCUAAUGCCACUUGAUUCACCAUCAUCAUGCAAUGAACACUUUUCGUCAGGGGAUUUGUUACACCACUUGAAGAACCUACAGUCGCAAGUACAACAAUGGAACAAUAGCCCUUAUGGUCAUUGUUAUUUUCAAACUCCAUCCAUUUAAUGAAGGCCAAGUCACAAUUUGGUGGUAGCAUAUGUCCCCUUUGUUUACAACAAUGACAUAUUCCCCGAUUCUGGCCUGCCAUCAACCUAGUCUAUAUCAACCACAUUAAACAAUUACAUCGACAUGUAAACAUAUAACUCUCACAAAACAGGCAUUUUCCUUGAACUACAUUAAACAAACAUUCCCAUAUCAAACAACCUGCUUAUAAUUGAAAACACUACUAUAGCAUUUUCUUUGAUCUAGCAACAUAGGAAAUUGUAAAUACACCUCGUUUGAAGGUUAAGAUUGAAGCUCAGCAUUUCAAAACUAAGAUUUUCCUUACAUCUAAAACAAAAAGAAAAAUGAAGACGCAUAAUUGAAUGAGCUCGGCAUUGUCAAACAGUGUUUUCGAAACUAAUUUUUGCCUUAUACAUAAAACUGAAAGAAGAUUGAAGAAGCUUAAAGCCCAACUUUUUUUGUUCAUACACAGUAACUCUCAGGUGACAAGCCCAGCAUUGUCAAACAAUUUUUCGCAUACGCUACAGUUGAUAGAAGAUCAAAAACUCGUAUUUUGUCUUCAACAUACGAUGAAACAAGAAAUUAUUGUGUUAAUAACGAAAUAAUAUCACAAAACUCGAAAAUGCACAUCGUUGCUUCCUUCUCUUUCUCUUACCUACGCGAGAGAGUAUUGGGUGGUCUCUUGUCGACGGGGAGGGAGGAAGUAUUUUCUAACGGUUGACGAGAUGAUUGAAGGUGGCGAUUAUUUGGGUGGUGGCCUGAAAAAUAGGGCAGCUGGAGUGUAAAUGUAAAUGGAAAAGUGGAAUUGAGUUGGGGAAGAGGGAUUCCUUUGUUUCAG